rnacentral:lncRNA from 1 species
UGCUAACCACUAGGACAGUUUACUCGUUUGGUGGAAUAAGAACCAUUUGGCUCCAGUGGUCCAUGCUAUUCUAUAUGUUUCCGCUCAUUAAGGAUUCCAAAUCUUAGACUCAGUAUUCCUCAAAGCUACUUCAGAUGGAUUUCAGUCUUACGUCAAUAAUGUUUUUUUUAUGAAGGGAAUUUCAUUAAAUGGCAUCAAGAAGAUGCAUAGCAAAAAUUACAACAUAAAGGUAUUGUCUGCUCAUGUACAAAAACUUACAAAAUCUUACAGGACAACUAAGGAACAGACAAAAUCCAAAAAUAGUUUAACACUAGUUACAGGGCGCUCAUAUACAAAAACUUACGGGACAAUUAAGGAGCAAACAAAAUCCAGAAACAGUUCAAAAAUAAGUUAAUUAAACAAGUGGCUUUAAGAGUGUGGUUGGGAGUUGAAAUCCCAUCAAAACAUCUACGGUUCCUUUCAUUCCAAUUACUCCAAAAAAUAACACCAGGUACCAUUGACCAAGUCUUUUUGAUGGAUUUCCCAACUCUCUAAGAAAACCAACUCUCAUAAGCUUCCUUGAUACUAUUUGGCAUAACCUAGGCAAGUCCCAAAACUAAUAAAAACAUACUCCAAAUAUCAGCUGCUACUGAACAAUGCAAACAAAGAUGCCUCACACUCUCAGAUUCCAUUUGGCACAUAUAACAUCUAUUCACAGUCG